rnacentral:rRNA from 1 species
GUGGGGAAUAUUCCGCAAUGGACGAAAGUCUGACGGAGCAACGCCGCGUGAGUGAUGAAGGUUUUCGGACUGUAAAGCUCUGUUGUUUAGGACGAAAGUGCCUGUUGCAAAUAGUUACAGGUAUUGACGGUACUGAACGAGGAAGCCACGGCUAACUACGUGCCAGCAGCCGCGGUAAUACGUAGGUGGCAAGCGUUGUCCGGAAUUAUUGGGCGUAAAGAGCAUGUAGGCGGGAAUCUAAGUCUGUUGUGAAAAUGCGGGGCUCAACCCCGUAUUGCGAUGGAAACUGGGUUUCUUGAGUGCAGGAGAGGAAAGGGGAAUUCCCAGUGUAGCGGUGAAAUGCGUAGAUAUUGGGAGGAACACCAGUGGCGAAGGCGCCUUUCUGGACUGUGUCUGACGCUGAGGUGCGAAAGCGUGGGGAGCAAACAGGAUUAGAUACCCGAGUAGUCC